CAUCAUCACUAGCAUCGGCAUUCAUCGGACUCUCCAGCUGUGUUGUUGCUGCAGAAGAACUCGGACAGUCUGCAAAAAUGAAGUUGGCCAUCUUGUGCCUCUGCCUGGCUACGGCAGCCUCAGCUGCACCAUCCCCCUUUCAUUACAUGCCUCAUUACGCAGCAUCCAGACAACAGGUGCCAUCCUCACAGGUGAAAACCCCCUUUACAGCUGCUCAG